rnacentral:lncRNA from 1 species
GAGUAGAAGAAAGGCCCAUACCAUAUUGAUGAACUAGUUCGGUCGGAUGAAACUCUGAUUUUCAAGACUUAGAACUCAAUAACUUAUGCAUUUAUCAUCUUUGGAUUGUAAUUUUUCAUUGAGUUAAAUAAUAAAAAAUAAUUUUUACAGAUCUACAUGUCAUUGUCUUGUUCUCCAUCAUGCGAUCCUCGAUCACGGUCG